rnacentral:rRNA from 1 species
GCCGACAGCUAGCUCUCUGCAACUCUCACAUGGUUGCCCACUAAAGCUAAGCAGGGCUGUGCCUGGUCAGUACCGGGAUGGGAGACCACAUGGGAAAGCUAGGUUGCUGCCGGAA